rnacentral:rRNA from 1 species
AUGGGAGAUGCUUGCAUUUCCUGAUGGCGACCGGCGCACGGGUGAGUAACGCGUAUCCAACCUGCCCUUCACUCCGGCACAGCCCGUCGAAAGACGGAUUAAUGCGGGAUGCAGUCAGAAAGAUGCAUAUUAAUUUGACGAAAGGCCUUCGGGCCGGUGAGGGAUGGGGAUGCGUCCGAUUAGCUUGACGGCGGGGUAACGGCCCACCGUGGCGACGAUCGGUAGGGGUUCUGAGAGGAAGGUCCCCCACAUUGGAACUGAGACACGGUCCAAACUCC